AACGCACAUUGCGCCCUCUGGCAUUCCGGAGGGCACACCUGUCCGAGCGCCAUUUAAACCCUCAAGCAUCGCUUGGUGUUGGGCGACGUCCGCGAGGACCCGCCUGUAACCCGUGGGCGGACCCGCCGAUUUGUAGCGCACCGAGCCUAACCGCGGCGCUGCGAAAAGGCGGGCCCCGCCGGAAAUCCAAAGUUUGGCCUCGGGUCAGGUGGGGAUACCCGCUGAACUUAA
rnacentral:misc_RNA from 1 species